rnacentral:rRNA from 1 species
CACGGGGGGAGCAAGCGUUGUUCGGAAUCACUGGGCGUAAAGGGCUUGUAGGCGGUCAAGUAAGUGGAAUGUGAAAGCCCCCGGCUUACCCGGGGAUCUGCAUCCCAAACUGCUUGGCUUGAGUACGGGAGAGGAUAGGGGAAUUCCUGGUGUAGCGGUGAAAUGCGUAGAUAUCCGGAGGAACACCGGUGGCGAAGGCGGCGUUCUGGACUGCAACUGACACUGAGGAACGAAAGCCAGGGGA